rnacentral:rRNA from 1 species
CACGUAGGGUGCGAGCGUUGUCCGGAAUUAUUGGGCGUAAAGAGCUCGUAGGCGGUGUGUCGCGUCGGCCGUGAAAACCUGCAGCUUAACUGUGGGCUUGCGGUCGAUACGGGCAUCACUGGAGUUCGGCAGGGGAGACUGGAAUUCCUGGUGUAGCGGUGAAAUGCGCAGAUAUCAGGAGGAACACCGGUGGCGAAGGCGGGUCUCUGGGCCGAU